rnacentral:rRNA from 1 species
CUCAUAUUAAAAGAUAUAAAAUUUUAAUCAAUAACGAGAGUGACGGGCGAUGUGUACACACUUCAGAGCCAAUAUCAGUUAAAUUAAAUAAUUUAAAUUACUAUCAAAUCCACCUUCAUUAAAAUAUUUCAAAAUUAAAUCCAUAAUAAAAAAAAAUUAUUGUAACCCAUCAUACACUUAAUUAUAAGCUGCACCUUGACCUGAAAUAAAUUUUAAUAAAAAAACAAGAAAAUUUUUUCUCCAAAAAGAUUUUCUGAUUAACGGAGAUAUACAAACAAAUAAAUUAAGUAAAGUAAAUCGUGUACUAUCAAUCAUGAGAUAGGUUCCUCUGAAUGGAAUGAAAUACCGCCAAAUUCUUUGGGUUUAAAGACCUUAACUAAUAAUACCCAGGUAAAAACAAAAUUUACAUUUAAAAUAAUA